GAUGAACGCUGGCGGCGUGCCUAAUACAUGCAAGUCGAGCGAACAGAUAAGGAGCUUGCUCCUUCGACGUUAGCGGCGGACGGGUGAGUAACACGUGGGUAACCUACCUAUAAGACUGGGAUAACUUCGGGAAACCGGAGCUAAUACCGGAUAACAUUUGGAACCGCAUGGUUCUAAAGUGAAAGAUGGUUUUGCUAUCACUUAUAGAUGGACCCGCGCCGUAUUAGCUAGUUGGUAAGGUAACGGCUUACCAAGGCGACGAUACGUAGCCGACCUGAGAGGGUGAUCGGCCACACUGGAACUGAGACACGGUCCAGACUCCUACGGGAGGCAGCAGUAGGGAAUCUUCCGCAAUGGGCGAAAGCCUGACGGAGCAACGCCGCGUGAGUGAUGAAGGGUUUCGGCUCGUAAAACUCUGUUAUUAGGGAAGAACAAACGUGUAAGUAACUGUGCACGUCUUGACGGUACCUAAUCAGAAAGCCACGGCUAACUACGUG
rnacentral:rRNA from 1 species